GCCUUAUGCCUGCUGGAGAAGUUUAGAGGAAUAACGCCUUUUUAAAAAUCAAAGAAAAUAUUCUUUACAAAUGGUCGAGAACUGCUACAGUCCUGCCGGGAGUGACGUGUCUAGCACGGAUACCUGGGCUUUUUCUAUGCUGGGUGAGACUGCCCCCGAAGAGGCCACACCAACCUGUUCAUUUCCAAAAGCCAGAAGCCGGAGAGAGAGAGAAGAGACACACUCCCACAAUAGGAUCUAAAUAAGUUGCCAGCGUUUCAGGACUCCUGAAAAGUAUGGAUUAACUGAAUAUUGACUAAAGCUGGGAUUCCUCCAGAGGGAAAGCAGUGGUAUAUUUUUCCAUAAGCCUAGAGACUAUACUUCUUGCACUUUUUUUCUCACUGUGGGAGGAAAACAAAGAGAUAAUUGGCUCUAAAUAAACCUCUAUCAGUAGCUCUGUAUCAUGGAAUUUGCUAAGCCUGUUGUUUGGUGUAAACAGACCCUACUUUGAGGAGCGUAUCUGAGGGGGGGAUUUAGAAUCUGACCUAUUACUUUCCGUGGUUCCAAUGGGUGCUGAACAGAAAACAGCACGCAUUCUGCACCCUGAGG
rnacentral:lncRNA from 1 species